AGAACGAACGCUGGCGGCAGGCUUAACACAUGCAAGUCGAGCGCCCCGCAAGGGGAGCGGCAGACGGGUGAGUAACGCGUGGGAACAUACCCUCCGGUUCGGAAUAGCUCAGGGAAACUUGGAUUAAUACCGGAUACGGCCUAGUGGCGAAAGAUUCAUCGCCGGAGGAUUGGCCCGCGUCUGAUUAGCUAGUUGGUGGGGUAAUGGCCCACCAAGGCGACGAUCAGUAGCUGGUCUGAGAGGAUGAUCAGCCACAUUGGGACUGAGACACGGCCCAAACUCCUACGGGAGGCAGCAGUGGGGAAUAUUGGACAAUGGGCGCAAGCCUGAUCCAGCCAUGCCGCGUGAGUGAUGACGGCCUUAGGGUUGUAAAGCUCUUUCGCUAGGGACGAUAAUGACGGUACCUAGACAAGAAGCCCCGGCUAACUUCGCGCCAGCAGCCGC
rnacentral:rRNA from 1 species